UCCAGUGCCAAGGAGUCCUAGAGUUUCUCCUAUUCCUUCUUGUAGAGUUUUUCAGGGUGUCUGAUUUUAUUUCCAGGUCUUUGGUGCAUUUGGAGUUGAUUUUGGUUCAGGGUGGUAUGUAGGGGUCUAGUUCUAGUUUGUUACAGGUGGUGACCCGGUUUUGCCAGCACCAUUUGUUGAAGAGGCUGUCUUUAUUCUAACCUGUAUUUUUAGCUUCUUUGUAAAAGAUUAGGUAGCCAUAGGUCUGGACAGGCUGUGGCCAAAAGGAAAUGCUACUCCAU